AGGAGCGGUAAUACAGAAGCCCCAAGCAUUACCCGGAUUUAUUGGGUUUAAAGGGUGCGUAGGCGGCCUGUUAAGUCAGGGGUGAAAGACGGUGGCUCAACCAUCGCAGUGCCCUUGAUACUGAUGGGCUUGAUUACACUUGAGGUAGGCGGAAUGUGACAAGUAGCGGUGAAAUGCAUAGAUAUGUCACAGAACACCGAUUGCGAAGGCAGCUUACUAAGGUGUCAAUGACGCUGAGGCACGAAAGCGUGGGGAUCAAACA
rnacentral:rRNA from 1 species